AACGUCAAACAGAAUUGUGCUUUGUUAUAUACGACGAUCCAAUCUGGUUUUUACUCUUCCUUUCUGUUGUAUAACAUAAUGAAAACUCUUCCUGUUGUUCCAAUUCUUCAUAAUAUAAAGAUGACAUUUUGUCAUCACAAUUAUACUAAUUGUAUUUGUAGUGAAGUCUCCCUUUUUACAAUUUAACAUAAUGAGAACGGCCGACACAUAAUAGCUGCAUUAUCUGCGAUUAAGGAAGUUCAUAAUGACACUAAAAUAAAACGGAAAGGGAACGAAUCAAAACGAAACAAUUAAGAUUUUAGGCAUAGAUAAAGGAUUAAAAGAAAAAAAAGGAAAGAAAUCUUAACGUGAAACCCGAUCCAUUCGAGCCUCCAAGGAAUUGAUUUGAUUAAUGUACAAGUAUUGUUCGAUACGAACGGCAAAUAUGGCGUGACGUGUAUAUUGUUUACGCCGUAUUAAACGCUUAACUCGUUGAUUUACUCGUGAAAUUCAUUAAUCGCAUGGUUGAUAACUUUUAAUUUAAUAAUCAAAGUCUGUUAAAUCAAUACUUUAAGUGAGAUUUCUAAAGAAAUUUUAUAUUAUAGAAAAAAUCGACGUAACAUAAUCGAGAUAAACGUAACAAGUACUGUAUACGUAACCCACUUUCUAGUUCGAGAUUUUGGUAUUUUUUUUAAAUAUUAAAAUACCAGUUGGUUCCUCAUAUUUUUGAACGGAUAACUCAUCGACAUUAAUAGAUAUUGGCUUGUUACGCGGUGAAAAAUGGAUCAAAAGGCAGAAAGAAAACACGAUUUAUAUAAUAUAUAAUUAAUAAUUUCCACUUUAUAACAAAUGGAAACUGGUUUAGACACUUUAACACGCGAGUGAAAAUCUUAUAUUUAAAAAAAUAAAAAGAAAAAUUGAAUAUCGUUUUACGCGGCGAAUGACAAUGGCCGACGUAAAGGAAGUAAUCGGGGAUAGGAAACAAUAGUGAUGAAGGCGUGUCCGAAUCGGUCAAACGAGGUCCUCACGUGCGAAAAGUAAUGCCCCGGUUAACGUGAAGGGAGUUCACCUUGGAUUAUACGCGAUGGAUAGACAUUUUUCAACAUUAAACGACUCGAACGGUCGAUAAUCGAUUAUGAUCGGAUGGAUCUUCUUUUUGGCAAUCUUCUGCGGGAUUUUGACGGAAUACUCAAUUAAGACGUCACACUACGAAGACAUGACGGACAUCUCUCUAAAAGGGCAUUCACCGUUGGUGGACAUUCUUACAGAUGUGGAAGAUUUCGAGGAUUCUCGUCCGUACAGACAGAUACCCGCUUCGAGGGAAGUGACAACGCCCAUGUCGUCUAUUCUUCCAUUUCAGAAGGCAAGAAAACAUAAAACAACGCACAUAAAUUCAAAAUAUAAACGAAAAUUAUAUAUCACAUUCUAAAAUCUGUAAUUAAAAUACAAACUUUGUCAUCGUAACGCUGUGAAACGAUAGAAAUUUUUAUUAAAUAAAUGCCUUUUAUUAAUCCUUUUUAUCGUUAUUUUAAUUAGUAAAAUUAAACGACAUUCCAAUCAUAGUUUCGAGGGAAAAAAUUAUAAAAGUUUAAUGAUAAUUUAAUAUAUUUUUUCAAUAAAGAAAUUAAUAAUACUAUGUAAAGUUUAGCCUUCAUUUAUGCUAAACAAACUGGAGAGACUCGUUCUUUUGAUUCUUGUUAGUUUAUAGCCUACAAUUUGUCCAUCUCGUUAACCCUUUAAAUGAAGAAUUCAUUCUACCAAAUAAAUUAGUUUCUCCCUUACACAAAUCUCGUCGAUCUCGCCCCUAUAAACAUCCAUUAUUAAUUAUAAUAAUUGCGUUAUGUUUUUGAUAUAGAAGCAAACGGAAGCCCUAAGCUGCAGCUCAGGACCUCGCAUUUUUAAUGUGUAUUUACUUGGUGGAUGGGCCUUGCCGUUGGCAUACUAGCAAAGAUAAUAACUUGCCCAGCUUUUCUUUAUACGGAACAAUGUAUCUUUAUUGUCUGCUGGAUAUUUAAUGUGAAAUUUCGAUAGACGAGAAAGUUCCUGUUUCUUUUCUAGCACAGGUUGCAGGAUCAAAGGUUCGAUAACCCUUUUUUUUAGUAAGCUAUAAGCUUCAUCCUUUUCACCUGUCACUAAAAAAUGCCAUAUUAAGUAUAAUUAUCAUAUUCCUUAAUGUCGGAAACUCAUAUUUUCCUCUUCGUCAAAGCAUCAAGAGGAGUACCUCUAGACACAUGCCAACGUUUAAAUUAUAAAAAUUAAGUUCGUAUACUUUACGACAUUCUUCACUGGUUGUUUUUCUGUGUAUACCAAAUACAAUAUGGUGAUAAUUUAUUUUAAAGAUGCCAUUAUCAUAAAGAAAUUCACAGAAUUGAGGAAGUGCCAAAUAAUUUCCUCCCGAGCAACUAUCACGAAUCUGUUUACCCUUUGCACCCUUGUUGACGAUGUGGGUCAGGGAAGAAUUGGACAACUCGACUCGAGAGUUCUUUUCGUGUCGUCAUCUUCUAAAAUCCAAAUCCUCGGGCGACUUGACCUCUCGGGUGAAUCUCUACAAAUGUUUGAAGGUUGUAAUAGUUGUGGAAAGUAACGGAAACUUUCAACACCUGCCAUUCUGAUAUAUUAUAUAUGUGCCACUUAUUGUUGGAUUUUUUUCUACUUCAACGAAUAUUCUUUGUAUUGUAAUGUUAUCAAUCGAGCUGAUUUUCGCUCUUUUAUGUAAGUAAAUUUUACUUCUCUCCGUUUAAAUGAUUUUGAUUAUCUUUUCCCCCAUCGCCAUAAACUGGGAUUUUUGUAAGGAAAGAAAAACUCUCUGCUAUUGAUGUAUCUGUGUUAAGUUUUCUAAUUCGAGUAACAAUGGAAGGUAACAAUAGUUAUAACUAGCUAAAUCCUACACGAAUAACGGCUAAAAAAUAUUAAUGGAUACCGGGGCUGUGGCUCUAAACCAUAACAUACAAUAGGCCCUUCCCUUCCAUCUUGUAAAGAAUGUGAAGUCCUGAGCUCUACCAUAGACUCAUAACUCGAGGUCCUUGUUUAGCUUGCGUGCAAAUAUGGCUCUAAUAUAGUUCCAUCUUUUAUUUUUUAAAUUAUUCACGUGUUUCUAAAAUUUUCCGUACUGAAGGUAACUCAAUUAUGCUCAGUUAUAGAAAUAAUAACAAAUAUUUAU